UACGUAGGGUGCAAGCGUUGUCCGGAAUUAUUGGGCGUAAAGCGCGCGCAGGCGGUGAUUUAAGUUUGGUGUUUAAUCCCGGGGCUUAACCCCGGUUCGCAUCGAAAACUGGGUCACUUGAGUGUAGGAGAGGAAAGUGGAAUUCCACGUGUAGCGGUGAAAUGCGUAGAUAUGUGGAGGAACACCAGUGGCGAAGGCGACUUUCUGGCCUAUAACUGACGCUGAGGCGCGAAAGCGUGGGGAGCAAACAGG
rnacentral:rRNA from 1 species